AUGUUAAAAAUGACUUUCCCUGAUCAGAGCUUUGAGUUGACUCAAAGCGGCCCGUGUGCGACCUCGGGAACUUUCCGCUAUACUUUUUGCCAUACAGAGGUAGAAGAGGAUGAGUCAGCAAUGCCCAAAAAAGAUGCACGCACACUUUUGGCAAGGUUUAAUGAACAAAUUGAGCCCAUUUAUGCAUUGCUUCGGGAGACAGAGGAUGUGAACUUGGCCUAUGAAAUACUUGAGCCAGAACCCACAGAAAUCCCAGCCCUGAAACAGAGCAAGGACCAUGCAGCAACUACUACUGUAGCUGCUAGCCUGGCAGGUAGGCACCACCGGGAAGCAUGGACCACCAAAGGUCCUUCCUAUGAGGACUUAUACACUCAGAAUGUUGUCAUUAACAUGGAUGACCAAGAUCUUCAUCGAGCCUCCCUGGAAGGGAAAUCUGCUAAAGAGAGGCCCAUUUGGUUGAGAGAGAGCACUGUCCAAGGGGCCUAUAGUUCUGAAGAUAUGAAAGAAGGGGGCAUAGAUAUGGAUGCAUCUCAGGAGCAGGAAGAAGGCCGUGCAGGGCCUGAUGAUAAUGAAGAAGUCAUGCGAGCACUGCUCAUUCAUGAGAAAAAGACUUCCUCUGCCAUGGCUGGUUCAGUGGGGGCAGCCGCUCCAGUAACCACUGCCAAUGGCAGUGACUCAGAAAGUGAGACCAGUGAAUCAGAUGAUGAUUCUCCACCCCAUCCAGCAACUGUGGCUGCACAUCAACGAGAAGAGGAUGAAGAGGAGGAUGACGAGUUUGAAGAAGUAGCAGAUGACCCCAUUGUCAUGGUGGCUGGCCGUCCGUUCUCCUACAGUGAAGUGAGUCAACGGCCGGAGCUAGUGGCUCAGAUGACACCAGAAGAAAAGGAGGCGUAUAUAGCAAUGGGACAGCGCAUGUUUGAGGACCUCUUUGAGUGAGCUUUCCCUACUUUCUCCUUUCUGUAAUGCUCAGUUCAAAAGAAAUGUCUCAUCUUUAAAGAAAAGUAUUUAAGUGGCUUUCUGCCCCUUUUGAUGUAAGCAGCUGUUGUUCCUUGUGCAAAGAAUGAUGUGAGAGAGUUUGACUUUUAUGCCAGAAACUUUCCCAGCAAUGUAGAGUGGUGGGAAACCUACCCUUCCCUGCUGUCACUACAGUAUUAAUAUUUUACUGUAUUUUCUCAUCUACCUUUUUUCUUGCCUUAUUAAGACAUAAUUUUCUCCCUUCUGAAAUGAGUGAGGGAAGUUCAUAAGUAAAUCCUUCCUGUCCUUCUGUUUACUGCAAUAGAUUAUAAUAAUUCACUGAUUACACAUCCAUUUUAUCUGUUCUAGCAAGGCAUUCCAAACAAUUUCUUAUACUGCUGCCCACCAAAGCAGCUUGCCAACAAGCAAAUCAUGGAUUGGGGGAAAGAUCCUAAAACUUCCUUAGAAUUUGAGUGUUUCCUCAAAAUUGAGAUGGGUCAAUAUGUAAAGGGAGGUGAGAAUAUGUGUGGAAGAAGGAUAGAUAUACUUGAGUCUCGUGAUUAAUGUCUAAACCAGAAUUUGUAUCUGUAGAACUGACCAGACUGGUGGAUUUUAUUGUAUUGGUUAAUGUCGUUCGGUUUGGAUUUGGGAUGAUAGAAAACAGAAAGUAUAAUUGGUAAACCGUUAGUAAGAAAUUAGAAAAAACAUGGACAUUGGACAAGAACUCUGUGUAAAGGGUUGAAGAGUAACAAGUAUUGGGAACCGUGCCUUAGAACUGUGUGUUUGUCUGAUUUAGAAAUCCCUUAUAUAAAGCUGAGACUGGUCCUGGUUUUGUUCCCUUUGUGUACAGACCUUUUGUCAGUGUUAUAAAUUGUUUAAUGAGGCCAUUCUAGCAGAAAUCAGCAUAGAAUAAUUUAUUCUUCUUCUCUGUCUCUGUCACUCUCCCUCUUUCUGAACAUCAUUAAAGGUUGUCUCUCUUUUCAUUCUUGUCAGAUAUGGUAUUUUAGAGUGCAUCCAGUAUAUCAUCGAGCAUUGUAACCUCAAUUGGGUUUUGAUAUGUAGCAUGGUGUUGUUCCCUAAGGCAGAACUUUAAAAAUAAAGAACUUUGACACCAAAAAAAAAAAAAAAAAAAAAAAGAAAGUACAUUCCUGCUAGGUUGGGGAGCUUGGCUUAAUGUUAAAGGUAUGUAUUUGUUUAGUUCUGGUUAUAAUCUCAUAAUGCAUCCAGGAUAGAGGGCUUAAUGUUGGUUUCAAUAAAGGCCAGUUACUAUCCUAACCCCAUCCCAAAGGUGAAUGAUGGAUGGAUGUAUGAUCGGUGGACUGAAUGACUUAUUAAUUCAUUUUUGUUGGCUCAUUAAUUUCAUUUUUAUUAAUAAAUUUUUGUUGGCUUACUACCCUAACUGCCAUGAAGGAAAACAAUGAGUAAGUUACAUUUUCAGCUCUCAAAGAGGAGAUUGAGAACUUUUAAUGUAAGACAGAGGGAAGUGAUUUUAUACAGAUAAAAAUACUUAUGUUAUUGGGAUUUCCUGCCAUGUUAUUCAGCAUGAUUUGUACUUAUGGAAAUUAUCGAGACUUAAUUGUAUAGCAUCUAUAUAGUCAGCCCUCUGUGUCCAAGGGUUUCACAUCCAUGGAUUUAACCAACCACAGAUUGAAAAUACUUG